UGCUGUGAACUCGAAGAGUAGGGCGGGACACGUGGUAUCCUGUCUGAAUAUGGGGGGACCAUCCUCCAAGGCUAAAUACUCCUGACUGACCGAUAGUGAACCAGUACCGUGAGGGAAAGGCGAAAAGAACCCCGGCGAGGGGAGUGAAAAAGAACCUGAAACCGUGUACGUACAAGCAGUGGGAGCCUCUUUAUGGGGUGACUGCGUACCUUUUGUAUAAUGGGUCAGCGACUUAUAUUCUGUAGCAAGGUUAACCGUAUAGGGGAGCCGAAGGGAAACCGAGUCUUAACUGGGCGUUAAGUUGCAGGGUAUAGACCCGAAACCCGGUGAUCUAGCCAUGGGCAGGUUGAAGGUUGGGUAACACUAACUGGAGGACCGAACCGACUAAUGUUGAAAAAUUAGCGGAUGACCUGUGGCUGGGGGUGAAAGGCCAAUCAAACCGGGAGAUAGCUGGUUCUCCCCGAAAGCUAUUUAGGUAGCGCCUCGUGAACUCAUCUUCGGGGGUAGAGCACUGUUUCGGCUAGGGGGCCAUCCCGGCUUACCAACCCGAUGCAAACUACGAAUACCGAAGAAUGUUAUCACGGGAGACACACGGCGGGUGCUAACGUCCGUCGUGAAGAGGGAAACAACCCAGACCGCCAGCUAAGGUCCCAAAGUCAUGGUUAAGUGGGAAACGAUGUGGGAAGGCACAGACAGCCAGGAUGUUGGCUUAGAAGCAGCCAUCAUUUAAAGAAAGCGUAAUAGCUCACUGGUCGAGUCGGCCUGCGCGGAAGAUGUAACGGGGCUAAACCAUGCACCGAAGCUGCGGCAGCGACACUAUGUGUUGUUGGGUAGGGGAGCGUUCUGUAAGCCGUUGAAGGUG
rnacentral:rRNA from 1 species